rnacentral:snRNA from 1 species
GGAUGUGAGGGUGAUCUGGCUGCAACAUCUGUCAUCCCAUUGAUCGCCAGGGUUGAUUCGGCUGAUCUGGCUGGCUAGACAGGUGUCCUCUUCUUCCCUCACCGCUCCAUGUGCGUCCCUCCCGAAGCUGCGUGCUCGGUGGAAGAGGACGGCCUUCCCCCAAUGGAGACAGACGGGUCUUCAGUUGAGGGUAUAGGAGUACCUGCGCUCCCCUGCUAGAACCUUCAAACAAGCUCUCAAGAAUCAACAUCUGGGGCCAGGUGGUGGUGCACCUGGUUGAGUGCACAUGUUA